rnacentral:tRNA from 1 species
GCCUGGGUGGCGGAACUGGUAGACGCAAGGGACUUAAAAUCCCUCGAUCCUUGCGGUCGUGAGGGUUCGACCCCCUCCCUAGGCACCA